AAUAGUUUUAUGCUACAUUAGUAUUUUCAUCCCGAAUUUCAGUAUUUUCAUCCUGAAAAAAAAAUCAAAUCUAAAUUAAAAUCCUGAAAUUCAGGAUAAAGUUACUGAUGUGGGAUAAAACUAUU
rfam:Gossypium hirsutum cultivar TM-1 chromosome 19, whole genome shotgun sequence